rnacentral:tRNA from 1 species
CGGGGUGUAGCGCAGUCUGGUAGCGCACCUGCUUCGGGAGCAGGGGGUCGGAGGUUCGAAUCCUCUCACCCCGACCA